rnacentral:rRNA from 1 species
CCUACGGGAGGCAGCAGUGGGGAAUAUUGGGCAAUGGGCGCAAGCCUGACCCAGCAACGCCGCGUGAAGGAAGAAGGCUUUCGGGUUGUAAACUUCUUUUCUCAGGGACGAAGCAAGUGACGGUACCUGAGGAAUAAGCCACGGCUAACUACGUGCCAGCAGCCGCGGUAAUACGUAGGUGGCAAGCGUUAUCCGGAUUUACUGGGUGUAAAGGGCGUGUAGGCGGGGACGCAAGUCAGAUGUGAAAACCACGGGCUCAACCUGUGGCCUGCAUUUGAAACUGUGUUUCUUGAGUACUGGAGAGGCAGACGGAAUUCGUGGUGUAGCGGUGAAAUGCGUAGAUAUUAGGAGGAACACCAGUGGCGAAGGCGGUCUGCUGGACCGCAACUGACGCUGAGGCGCGAAAGCGUGGGGAGCAAACAGGAUUAGAUACCCGGGUAGUC